GGAAGAACCAAGAGCCCAUCUCUUUAUGAAAUGCCCUAAUUUAGAAACCUCUAUAUAUACACAACUCCAGGGUCUAGAAGAGCAGCCGAAACCUCCAGGCUUGUGAAAAUUCAAAACUUCCUUGUCAAAUGAAUCUGGCACAUGGAGGUUUCAAGGUUAAGCAUGGAGAAUUUGCAAAUGUGCAAAUAGGAUGUCUGCAAGGCAAUCAGAAUACUUUAACAUACCCUGUUCAGUCUCUCCCUGGGCAACAACAGGAAGGAACCCUCCUCCUGCUCCAAGCACUCUUCCAAUAUGAAUGCAAGGAAUCUCAAUGAAUUGCUACAUCUGAGUGACUUGGGCUUUGACAUUGAGCAAAAGCAGUGGAGGAGCAGUUGAAGGCCCAAAAUGAGGAGGCCGUUGUUUAUAAGUUUGCAGUUAAGGAAAGCUCAUCAAUAUUGAUUUGGCUGUGCACGUUUCUUAUAGAAAGACUUUAGGCCGCUAUUGCAUUCAAGAAGCUAAGGACCACUUCUCACAAUGAAGAAAUCAUAUCAAUCAACAAAGACUGUAAGGAGCUAUUGCAUUUGGAAGCUCAAUCAAGGCACUACUUUUAUGGUCAAGAGAGUGGAUGAUUUCACUGGUCACUCCCAUCAUCCCAUGUAUCUAGAGUUCUUAUGUAUUUCGAAUUAAACUGUUUCUCAUUAAAAAAAAAAGUAUUCAUAUUGUCUAGAGUCCUGUUUAUUGUAAGUUGUUACCAUUCGACUGCGUAUUUUUUUGAAGUGAUGGAUGAGAAAUAGAAGGGGCUGUAUUUGCUACUUGAAAUCUGUUGUGUAGUAAAGUUCAAAUAUGCAACAUGUUGGGCUCUUGGGUAUAUUUUCAACA